GGAGAAUUCUGGUGGUUAUAUUUAGUCCUCUUGUGACCAGGAGUCAGGCAUUCCUGAUAUAGGACGGCAGAAUUCCCAUCACACAACACAUACAAACACAACACACACACAUUCUGUCUGAGAGGGUUCUCUGAGCUGGUGGGCCUGGGUUCAACUCCAACAUCAACCUGCCAGGUAGAGAGGAGCACCCAGGCUCCACCCCCACCUCCUCGUCUCCGCAGCUACAGGACAAGAACGCCAACAACCACGCCACCCCCUCCCCAAGCCCCACCCCCAUUGAAAACGGCAACAGGCUGUCCAACGGGUCAAUGGAAGAUGAGGGUCACACCAAGUCAAACUCUUCCAGCUCAUCGUCUCUGCACAGGCAUAUGGACAGCCAUCACACUCAGAGGGGUCAUCUCAACUUCUCGCCCUUCGGUGCGGGGGCUGCACUCUAAGGCAUGGCGGGCGCGGGAGCACCCCUCACAUUAGGGACGGGGUGAUCCAGCAUCUGCGUGGAUGUGGGGGGGACGAGUCCGCCACCCUGGGGGAGUUGCUCCGCUGGCGCAGGGCGCUGUGUGAGGGGCGGGCCGACUGGAGGCACCAACGGGAUGUCAACGGAACACCACAAACCCCACCCACCACACUGGUCAGGGCUAAUAGGAAGUCUUCUCCAUAGUGGGAGGAUGUCCAACCUGAAAUUCCCACUCUCCACGCCUCACACUGCCUUUCUUGUCUGCCUCCUGCCACGCCCUCCUGCCCUUGUCUGCCACCCCAUUCGGCAAAGGACAGGUCUGAGAGAGAGGCAUUUCAUUGGCUAGGACCGCCCAACCCACAAGAGCAUUAACAGAUAAAGGAGGGAGAAAGGGAAUAGAGCAGCAAUCAGGAUCCAUUUAAUUCUCUCUCUCUCUCUCUCUCUCUCUCUCUCUCUCUCUCUCUCUCUCUCUCUCUCUCUCUCUCUCUCUCUCUCUCUCUCUCUCUCUCUCUCUCUCUCUCUCUCUCUCUCUCUCUCUCUCUCUCUCUCUCAAGCUGGAUGUAGGCUAACAGAGGAGAGGACUGUACAUACAAUAGUUGCUAUGUGGAAUGAGGUUUGCCUAUGUGUUUUCUGUCUGUAGUAAAUCUGGUGCACGUUCUCUCUCUAUCAAAGCCUACCAUGCUGUUACUGCUUACGCAACAUCUCCCAGCCCAAACCCCAAAACAUGGUGCUGAUGUCACUCUGUGUGAUGUCAUAUGUGUCAGGUGUGUGAUGCACACUAGGAUGAAGCUGCCCCGGUCUAGACACUGAUCCAGGGUCUGUUUUUGUCUUUCCCCUCUGACGCUCAUGGGGAAGGUAAGUUGAUCCUAGAUCUGUGCCUAUGGGCACAACAGAACAUGUGUGUACCCUCCCCUCCAGACAUGUCUGAAGUUUACAAGCGAGCCAAGGCCUUUAAACAUCUCCUCUGUUGAACCUCACUGCUCUGGCUUACAGACCAGUUAUCAUCUCUAGGACCAGGAGGUUUUCCUUACCAUGUGAUCUGACCAGGGAAAACUCCUGUCUCUAGUCUUCUGGACUCCUUCAGGUAUCAGCUACCGCUUUAGCCUCACGCUACAAGGUGCUUUUGGUGCUUCUGUAACCCUGGCAACAAUAGCUCAGAGUUCAGGGGUCAGGGAAACCUCAGCGAUAUCCCAUGGUGCACUUGUUUCAUCCCCAGCUAGCCAACGGCCUUUCGCUUUAGAGCAAACUGAACAGAACAUCCACAACAGUAAAAAAACAAAACACUGUACAGAUAUUACUGACUAGGCAAGACAAUAGCAGGGCUGUAUUUUACAACGAUGGCCAUAGUAGCUAGUUCAUGUAGCUAGAUCACCUGUGAUCAGACUGUAUCAAUGUCCUGUAAGGUUUUUACUGGGCUUAGUGCCAUACAACGUGACUCUAGGCCAGUCAACCUCAGCUAUGGCUGAUGUAUUUUACUGAUGUGUUUGUGUAGAGCACACAAACAGACUGAAUAAAGAACAGUGUAGAUGACCAAUGCACAACUAUCUGUCGCAGUCCCUCAAUUAACUACUUAUCUAGAUUUAUUCUACAAACAUCUCAGAGAAAUAAGCUCUAAACCACAAUGGUACUUUCUUCAUAUUAGCGUCUCAUUUGAUAUGUUCUAUCUUGUGUAAAUCAAUGUUAGGAGCCUGUACACUUUUCUGUACAAUUCAAGGAUGCAACUGGAGCACAACAGAGUUCUCAUGCAGU
rnacentral:lncRNA from 1 species